rnacentral:rRNA from 1 species
UACGUAGGGCGCAAGCGUUGUCCGGAAUUAUUGGGCGUAAAGAGCUCGUAGGCGGUCUGUUACGUCUGCUGUGAAAACCCGGGGCUUAACCCCGGGCUUGCAGUGGAUACGGGCAGACUAGAGGCAGGUAGGGGAGAAUGGAAUUCCCGGUGUAGCGGUGAAAUGCGCAGAUAUCGGGAGGAACACCGGUGGCGAAGGCGGUUCUCUGGGCCUGACCUGACGCUGAGGAGCGAAGGCCAGGGGAGCAAACGGG